CCAAAGGCUCUUUUCAGAGCCACCCACACUUUCAACUAAAAAAGG
rfam:Mus musculus chromosome 13, GRC primary reference assembly.